UACGUAGGGGGCAAGCGUUAUCCGGAUUUACUGGGUGUAAAGGGAGCGUAGGCGGCGAUGCAAGUCAGAAGUGAAAGCCCGGGGCUCAACUCCGGGACUGCUUUUGAAACUGUAUGGCUAGAUUGCAGGAGAGGCAAGUGGAACUCCAUGUGUAGCGGUAAAAUGCGUAGAUAUAUGGAAGAACACCAGUGGCGAAGGCGGCCGCCUGGCCUGUUACUGACGCUGAGGCACGAAAGCGUGGGGAGCAAAUAGG
rnacentral:rRNA from 1 species